rnacentral:rRNA from 1 species
UACAGAGGUCUCAAGCGUUGUUCGGAUUCAUUGGGCGUAAAGGGUGCGUAGGCGGCGCGGUAAGUCGGGUGUGAAAUCUCGGGGCUUAACUCCGAAACUGCAUUCGAUACUACCGUGCUUGAGGACUGGAGAGGAGACUGGAAUUUACGGUGUAGCGGUGAAAUGCGCAGAUAUCAGGAGGAACACCGGUGGCGAAGGCGGGUCUCUGGGCCGAUACUGACGCUGAGGAGCGAAAGCGUGGGGAGCGAACAGG